rnacentral:lncRNA from 1 species
UGCCUAAAAAUGUACCUAGGAUGUAUUCACAUAUAUUUUUCUCAAUGUGCGUCACAUCUAGAUUAUGUGGUAACUUCAAACUUGACCAAUAUGGCAAAUUCCACAAACAUGACCUUCGCUUCCAACAUUGGUCAGUUUCGUCCCGCUUUCUUUUUUUGCUUUCAGGAUGCUUUCCUGGUCUGACAUCCUCGACCCACUCUAGUUGCUCU